GCCUGGCACGGUGGCACACACUUGUAGUCCCAGCUACUUGGGAGGCUGAGGCUAGAGGAUCACUUGAGUCCAGGUGUUCUGGGCUGUAGUGUUCUAUGCCAAUUGGUUGCCCGCACUAAAUUUGGCAUCAACAUGAUGACCUUUAGGGGACCACCAGGUUGCCUAAGGUGGGAUGCGCUGACCCAGGUCAGAAAUGGAGCAGGUCAAAACUCCUGUGCUGACCAGUGACUAGCCACUGCACUCCAUCCAGCCUGGACAACAUAGUGAUACCCUGUCUUU
rnacentral:SRP_RNA from 1 species